UCUAUCGUGAGGUAGAAUUUGAAAGAAGCUGUAGGCAAAUCUCUGAUCCGAUGGACAGAAAUCGCAUAUAAGGCUAGGCUCUGAGAGAUAAGUUGGCAAAAAACAACGAUGUCUGAUUACUACCACAUUUGUUGGAGCAGUGUAGAUGCGGUGGAUAUAUGGAGGAAAGAGCGUGCACC
rnacentral:ncRNA from 1 species